UACGUAGGGGGCAAGCGUUGUCCGGAUUUAUUGGGCGUAAAGAGCGUGUAGGCGGCUAGGUAGGUCCGUUGUGAAAACUCGAGGCUCAACCUCGAGACGCCGAUGGAAACCCUCCAGCUAGAGUCCGGAAGAGGAGAGUGGAAUUCCUGGUGUAGCGGUGAAAUGCGCAGAUAUCAGGAAGAACACCCGUGGCUAAGGCGGCUCUCUAGGACGGUACUGACGCUGAGACGCGAAAGCGUGGGGAGCGAACAGG
rnacentral:rRNA from 1 species